rnacentral:rRNA from 1 species
CCAGCUCCAAUAGCGUAUAUUAAAGUUGUUGCAGUUAAAAGGCUCGUAGUUGGAUUUCUGGUGGGGGUCGCUGGUCGGGCCCGCAAGGGUCUGUACCGAUGUGUACUUCCGCCAUCCUUGGGGAGAGCCAUUCUGGCAUUAAGUUGUCGGGGUGGGGAUCCUCAUCUUUUACUGUGAAAAAAUUAGAGUGCUCAAAGCAGGCGUCUCAGCCUGAAUAGUGGUGCAUGGAAUAAUGGAAUAGGACCUCAGUUCUAUUUUGUUGGUUUUCGGAGCAUGAGGUAAUGAUUAAGAGGGACAGACGGGGGCAUUCGUAUUGCGACGUUAGAGGUGAAAUUCUUGGAUCGUCGCAAGACGAACUACUGCGAAAGCAUUUGCCAAGAAUGUUUUCAUUAAUCAAGGACGAUAGUUAGAGGUUCGAAGGCGAUCAGAUACCGCCCUAGUUCUAACCGUAAACGAUGUCAACCAGCGAUCCGCAGGAGUUAUUCAUGACUCUGCGGGCAGCUUCCGGGAAACCAAAGUUUUUGGAUUCCGGGGGGAGUAUGGUUGCAAAGCUGAAACUUAAAGGAAUUGACGGAAGGGCACCACCAGGAGUGGAGCCUGCGGCUUAAUUCGACUCAAC